rnacentral:rRNA from 1 species
UCAAUAAGCGGAGGAAAAGAAACCAACAGGGAUUGCCCUAGUAACGGCGAGUGAAGCGGCAACAGCUCAAAUUUGAAAUCUGGCCCUUGGGUCCGAAUUGUAAUUUGUAGAGGAUGAUUUUGGUGCGGUACCUUCCGAGUUCCUUGGAACAGGACGCCUUAGAGGGUGAGAGCCCCGUACGGUUGGAUGCCUAGCCUCUGUAAAUCUCCUUCGACGAGUCGAGUAGUUUGGGAAUGCUGCUCUAAAUGGGAGGUAAAUUUCUUCUAAAGCUAAAUACUGGCCAGAGACCGAUAGCGCACAAGUAGAGUGAUCGAAAGAUGAAAAGCACUUUGAAAAGAGGGUUAAAUAGCACGUGAAAUUGUUGAAAGGGAAGGAUUUAUGACCAGACUUUUUCUGGGCGGAUCAUCCGGUGUUCUCACCGGUGCACUUUGCCCAGUUUAGGCCAGCAUCGAUUUUCGGAGGGGGAUAAAAGCUUUGGGAAUGUGGCUCUUUCGGGAGUGUUAUAGCCCAUUGUAUAAUACCCUUCUGGGGAUCGAGGUACGCGCUUCUGCAAGGAUGCUGGCGUAAUGGUUAUCAAUCACCCGUCUUGAAACACGGACCAAGGAGUCGAACAUUUGUGCGAGUGUUUGGGUGUUAAACCCUCACGCGUAAUGAAAGUGAACGGAGGUGAGAGCCCGUACGGGUGCAUCAUCGACCGAUCCUGAAGUUUUCGGAUGGAUUUGAGUAAGAGCAUAACUGUUCGGACCCGAAAGAUGGUGAACUAUGCGUGGAUAGGGUGAAGCCNNAGGANGACUCUGGUGGAGGCUCNCAGC